AGCCUAGUCGCUUAGGCGUUGUCCUCCGACGGCAAAGGUCACACGUUCGAAUCGUGUCGGAUGCGCCA
rnacentral:tRNA from 1 species